rnacentral:rRNA from 1 species
UACAUAGACUGCAAGCGUUAUUCGGAUUCACUGGGCGUAAAGGGUGCGCAGGUGGCCAGGUGUGUUAGGCGUGAAAGCCCGGGGCUUAACCCCGGAAUUGCACCUAAAACUACUUGGCUAGAGCAUUGGAGAGGGGAGCAGAAUUCAUGGUGUAGCAGUGAAAUGCGUAGAUAUCAUGAGGAAUACCAGAGGCGAAGGCGGCUCCCUGGACAAUUGCUGACACUCAGGCACGAAAGCGUGGGGAGCAAAAGGG